UACGGAAGGCAGCAGUGGGGAAUAUUGCACAAUGGGCGCAAGCCUGAUGCAGCCAUGCCGCGUGUAUGAAAAAGGCCUUCGGGUUGUAAAGUACUUUCAGUCGUGAGGAAGGUGUUAAGGUUAAUAACCUUAGCAAUUGACGUUAGCGACAGAAGAAGCACCGGCUAACUCCGUGCCAGCAGCCGCGGUAAUACGGAGGGUGCGAGCGUUAAUCGGAAUUACUGGGCGUAAAGGGCACGCAGGCGGUUAAUUAAGUUGGAUGUGAAAUCCCCGGGCUUAACCUGGGAAUGGCAUUCAAGACUGGUUAGCUAGAGUCUUGUAGAGGGGGGUAGAAUUCCAUGUGUAGCGGUGAAAUGCGUAGAGAUGUGGAGGAAUACCGGUGGCGAAGGCGGCCCCCUGGGACAAAGACUGACGCUCAUGUGCGAAAGCGUGGGGAGCAAACAGGGAUUAGAUACC
rnacentral:rRNA from 1 species